rnacentral:rRNA from 1 species
UACGGAGGGAGCUAGCGUUGUUCGGAAUUACUGGGCGUAAAGCGCACGUAGGCGGCUUUGUAAGUUAGAGGUGAAAGCCCGGGGCUCAACUCCGGAACUGCCUUUAAGACUGCAUCGCUUGAAUCCAGGAGAGGUGAGUGGAAUUCCGAGUGUAGAGGUGAAAUUCGUAGAUAUGCGGAGGAACACCGAUGGCGAAGGCAAUCCCCUGGGCCUGCACUGAACGCU